GCCGCAACCUCUCUCGCUCUCUUUCUUCUCUGUGAGGACGAGGAAGCUCCACACGCCACAGUUCGCCGGCGCCCCAUCGUCCCCGGCUGCCCCGCAUCCAUCCAAGACAACCAGAAGCUCCGCCUCGUCUCCCUCAUCAUCUCCACCGAAGGAAUCAGGAAGGGGCUCCGUAAAUCGAGCGCAAGUUCGCCGUUUCUGUUUCCAACGAGCCGUGCUCCGGCGAUGAUUCCGGCGGCCCUGCCCCUCGUAUGUCUUUUCUGAGCACACCGAUGGGUUCCUGAUGGCGUCGCACGUGGCUUCUCCGGUGAUUCCCCAGCUCCAACUCGGCCUUGCUCAGACUUCCUUUUGACUUCCGCUUCGAACGCGCCGUCUCUCGCAUGCUGGUUCGCCCCGAAUCGCCGGAGCGAUGCUCCACUUGAUCAAUUUCCACCAUGGCUGCAGCUUGGAAGCCCGUCUCAGUAUUCUGCCAGUUCUUCUAGACGUGCACCAGUAUACAGACAUGAUUAGCAACAUACUGUAAUGAUCCACUAUUGGGCCUUGACCCGUUUCUUUCCGACCCAGCCCGAUGCCGAUGUGCGCCCAACAUCUAUCCACGCCGGCCCAGCACAAGCGCGGCUCAGUUUCCAGGCCAGCGUUUGCUUCUUCCCGGAUAGGAUCGCGAAGUGGUG